GUCUUUGUUUUGUUGCCUUCUCAGUAUUUGUAAUUAACGGCACAAGUAGUGCGUCUAUGAAACCCCCUAGACCCUUUAUUCUCUAGUGUAACUUUUUUGCAAGCUAGGCCUUUGUCCAAAUCGAAACGUUUACUUUAAGCUUCUGACUAAAUAACUCUCUUGUCUCCUGGAAAAUCUAAGUGAUUGCUUCAUCGAUGUUGCAGUUUUGGAUCCUCUUCCAUGUCCGACAAUUGUGUGAGAUUUUAAAGAAAAACAAAACAUUAUGCA